rnacentral:rRNA from 1 species
CAGUAGCCACGGUAACACGUAGGGUGCGAGCGUUAAUCGGAAUUACUGGGCGUAAAGCGUGCGCAGGCGGUUCGUUAAGACAGAUGUGAAAUCCCCGGGCUUAACCUGGGAACUGCAUUUGUGACUGGCGAGCUAGAGUAUGGCAGAGGGGGGUAGAAUUCCACGUGUAGCAGUGAAAUGCGUAGAGAUGUGGAGGAAUACCGAUGGCGAAGGCAGCCCCCUGGGCCAAUACUGACGCUCAUGCACGAAUGCGUGGGGAGCAAACAGGAUUAGAUACCCCGGUAGUCCCUGUCUCUUAUAC